rnacentral:rRNA from 1 species
UACGUAGGGGCCUAGCGUUGUCCGGAUUUAUUGGGCGUAAAGAGCUCGUAGGCGGUCUGUCGCGUCGAUCGUGAAAACUUGGGGCUUAACCCUGAGCUUGCGGUCGAUACGGGCAUGACUGGAGUUCGGCAGGGGAGACUGGAAUUCCUGGUGUAGCGGUGAAAUGCGCAGAUAUCAGGAGGAACACCGGUGGCGAAGGCGGGUCUCUGGGCCGAUACUGACGCUGAGGAGCGAAAGCGUGGGGAGCGAACAGG